CGGGGUGUCGGAUAAUGGUAGUCCGCACGCUUCGGGUGCGUGUAGUCCCGGUUCGACUCCGGGCACCCCGA
rnacentral:tRNA from 1 species